GGGCGAGCUAGCGUGCCCACAGCUUCCGCUCCCUCCGCAGCUCCCGCAGCCUCUUGCCAUUUCCUGAACAAUGCCGGCUGAGUUCCCGCUCCCCCGCCUCUGCUGGCCACAGACGAGUAAUUACUUAGGAAAAGUUGACCGAUGGCUUGAUGUGAAGAGCUCUUGUGGUUCGCAAGGCGUGGAGCCGGGGACGUCGCGCCCACGUCCCAUGGUGCUCGGCUCUAGGGGAAAAAGGCUGCUCUCGAUUUUCUGCGGGCCUAUGAUCUGCUUUGUGCAUGAUCUGUGGCAAAUGUUUCAUCUCUGGCUGGCUCCCUACUGCCACUCAGCACGCCUCCGGAGCUCCUCCCUUUAUCAAAGAGGGGUUCCCGCUGAGAGAUUGCGGCUCCCUUUUCAUUUCAGCCUGAGCCAACACCAUUAGCCAAAGCUGGAUCAAGGGAUGUUGGGAGUUAACAAGUUAUACAAGAAAAGGUAAAGGAAGAAAUAUGUUUGCUGAAAAGUCAUCAAAUCAACACUACCAUUGCUUUUGGCAAGGGCAUAACAAUCUCAGUCCCUAUAGCUCCAUCCACCAUCCCUGUGACUUCCUACACCAAAACACUAUUUCUUGGCUACCACUCCACUAUAUGUGUUAUAUCUCCCAUUAGAAUGUGAAAUCCUUGAGGUCAGGGACCUUCUUUAUUUUGUACUUGUAUCCCCAGUUCUUAGCACAAUGUCUCACACAUGGUAAGUGAUUUUUCAUUCAUUCAUGUUUCCCUAGGUGUAUUCCCUCAAAUCUUCUUGCCAACCAAUAGAUAUAUGAUAUGUACAGUUAUUUUGUCUUGUGACAUGUUAUAUCUUGGAAUCAAUUUGGCUUUCCUUUUUUCCAUAUUGGGGUGUGUGUGUGUGUGUGUGUGUGUGUGUGUGUGUGUAUGUGCGUGCGUGCGCGUGCGUGCGUGUGCAAUGUAUUUAUUCGGUUGGUUUUGUUUGAACUAGGGAGGUGGAAGUGGACAAAUUUCAAGGGCCUUACUCUUUUACCUGAUUGAAAGAACUAGUCCUAAAAUGCCCCUUUCUAUUCACCCUUAAAUGGCCCUUUUCCUUCUUUUCUCUUUUCCAACCUUCAGUGUCAUUGUACCUGUCUUUCCCUUCAGUGUCUGUCUCUCCCUCACUCUCCUCCAGAUCACCUGGGCUGUCUUUCCGUUGUCUCAUGCUUCCAAUGUGACCGAGUCACAUUCUUUUUCAGUUGUAUCUGCCCUUCAUAAAAUCUUUUAUUCCAUUUUAAGUGUUUCUGCUGAUCCCUAUUCCUUUUCUCUGUGACCAUUUUCUCUUUGCAUUUUUCUCUUUAGUCUUGUCUUUCUCUUCUUGUGCAUUUUCUGCAUUUGUUCAUGGGUAAAUGCUAAACUCAUACUGCAGAGAGAGUAAGAGACUCAAAAGGGGGUCUUCUAGUAUGUCAGGUGGCUCUUCCAUACAUAGAAGUUUUAUAGGAAAAGAGUCAAGAGUUUCAUUGGACAAUCUCUAUUACCAUCCAGUGCAGGUUGAAUCUACCUGAAUGGAAUUACAGAUCCUUUGUUUUUGUUGUUUAGUCCUUUUUCAAUGGUGUCUGACACUUUGUGACACCAUUUGGGGUUUUGGCAAAAAUACUGGAGUAGGGGCUGCUAGGUGGCUCAGUGGAUAGAGUGCCAGGCCUAGAGGUCAGAUAUUUUCUAGCUGUGUGACCCUGGGCAAGUCACUUAACCCCAAUUGCCUAUUUUUUACUGCUCUUUUGCCUUGGAACAAAUACUUGGUAUCGAUUCUAAAUACAGAGUUUAAAAAAAGAUACUGGGGAGAGCAAUCUGGAAUUAUAAUCAAAUUGUUAUAAAACUGUAUGCCUUUUGACCCAGUAAUACCAAUAUUAGGUUAUUUCCUAAGGUGAUCAAGGAAAAAGGAAAAGAAACUAUAUAAUCUAAAAUAUCUACAGCAGCUCUUUUUGUGGUGGAAAAGAACCAGAAAUUGAAGGGAUGCCCAUCAACUGAGGAAUGGCUAGUUAAAUUGUGAUAUAUACUUGUAAUGGAAUACGAUUGUGACAUAAGAAAUCACAAACAAGAUGAUCACAAAAAAUCCUUGAAAGACUUAUAUGAAGUGAUGCAAAGUGAAGUGAGCAGAACCAGGAGAAUGUGACAACAAUAAUAAAGGAUGAUCAACUGCAAAUGCCUUAAUUAUUAUCAACAAGGCAAGGAUUCAGGAUGACUCCAAGGGAUUCAUGAGGAAAAAAGCUAUCUAACAACAUAGAGGGAAUAGUUAAGAGUCUGAAUGCAGAUUGAAACAUACCAUUCUUUAUUUCUUUCAUGAAUUUUUCUCUAAUAUAAGUGAUGUGUGUCUUGUUUCACAACAUGAUGAAUAGAGAAAUAUGUAUUAUAUGAUGAUAUAUGUAAUGACUAUAUAAUAUUACCUGCCUUCUUUGGGUGGCAGGAAGGAUGGGAAGGAGGGGAAAAUAAAAAAAAUGAGAAGUAGAUUUUUGGA